rnacentral:rRNA from 1 species
AGAUUGAACGCUGGCGGCAUGCCUAACACAUGCAAGUCGAACGGGAGUAGCAAUACUCUAGUGGCGGACGGGUGAGGAAUACGUAGGAAUUUGCCCUUAAGUGGGGGAUAACCCGGGGAAACCCGGAUUAAUACCGCAUGACCUCGAAAGAGCAAAGUGGGGGAUCGCAAGACCUCACGCUUUUGGAGAAGCCUACGUCGGAUUAGCUAGUUGGUGAGGUAAUGGCUCACCAAGGCGACGAUCCGUAACUGGUCUGAGAGGAUGAUCAGUCACACCGGAACUGAGACACGGUCCGGACUCCUACGGGAGCAGCAGUGGGGAAUAUUGGACAAGUGGGCGCAAGCCUGACUCCGAAGCAAUCGGCCGUCGUGUGUAGAAAGGUAACGGUCC